rnacentral:miRNA from 1 species
AGGCGGAGACUGGAGCAAUUGCU